rnacentral:rRNA from 1 species
CCUACGGGUGGCAGCAGUGGGGAAUAUUGCGCAAUGGGCGAAAGCCUGACGCAGCGACGCCGCGUGAGGGAUGAAGGUCUUCGGAUCGUAAACCUCUGUCAGCAGGGAAGAACGGUCACUGUGCUAAUCAGCAGUGCAUUGACGGUAUCUGCAAAGGAAGCCACGGCUAACUACGUGCCAGCAGCCGCGGUAAUACGUAGGGGGCAAGCGUUAAUCGGAUUUACUGGGCGUAAAGCGAGCGUAGGCGGUAUGUCAAGUCUAGGGUGAAAGCCCCGGGCUCAACGGGGGAACUGCAUUUGAAACUGGCAAACUUGAGUGUAGGAGAGGAUAGUGGAAUUCCAUGUGUAGCAGUGAAAUGCGUAGAUAUCUGGAGGAACGUCAGUGGCGAAGGCGACUAUCUGGCACAUAACUGACGCUGAGGAGCGAAAGCGUGGGUAGCAAACAGGAUUAGAUACCCGGGUAGUC